rnacentral:rRNA from 1 species
GAUGAACGCUGGCGGCGUGCUUAACACAUGCAAGUCGAGCGGAAGGACGCUGCGCUUGUGUGUUUCACGAUUGGCGAACGCGGGAGUAACACGCGUGUAUCCUCCACUUGUCUGUGGGGGAUCUUCUGGAGAAUGCGGCUAUUAUCCGGUAGGAGCUUCUGCUCCAUGGUGGUGAUUGGAAAAUGUCGGCGGUUGGGGCUGGAAUAGCUGGUUAUCAGCUUGUUGGUGGGGUAGUUGCUUACCAAGGCUUUGACGGGUAGGCGGCCUGGGAGGGGGACCGGCCACAUUGGGACUGAGGUAGGGCCCAGAAUCCUACGGGAGGCAGCAGUCGGGAAUAUUGCACAAUGGGCGGAAGUCUGAUGCAGAAACGCCGCGUGCGGGAUGCCGGCUUUCGGGUUGUAAACCGAUUUCGCCUGUGCCGAAGCGUGAGUGACGGUAAUGAGUAAAGAAGCACCGGCUAACUACGUG